GUGCUCAAUUCAGUAGCACAUAAGCUAAAAUUAGAAUGAUACAGACUAGUAUGACCGCUGUGCAAAGAUGACAUGCAAAUUUGUGAUGCAUUAAAAUAAUAA
ensembl:snRNA U6 U6 spliceosomal RNA